rnacentral:rRNA from 1 species
GACAGAGGUCCCAAGCGUUAGGCGGAAUCACUGGGCUUAAAGCGUGUGUAGGCGGAUGCCUAAGUACCUUGUGAAAUCCCACGGCUCACCCGUGGAACUGCUUGGUAUACUGGGUGUCUUGAGCCACUUAGGGGCUACCGGAACAAAUGGUGGAGCGGUGAAAUGCGUAGAUAUCAUUUGGAACGCCAACGGUGAAAACAGGUAGCUGGGAGUGUGCUGACGCUGAGACAGAAAGCCAGGGGAGCAAACGGGG